UUUUGAAAAUAUAAUCCAUUUGUACUGUUAAAAUGCGCGUGCCUAAUGGAGUAACCGGACAAUGAUGUGUGGUGUGCCACGUGUAUGUCAUGUUGAUGUACAAAAACUAGUUUUUAAUAGUAGAAAUGGAUGAAAUUUUGAACA
rfam:Gossypium raimondii scaffold_14_contig_1, whole genome shotgun sequence.